UGAAGGUUGGGUAACACCAACUGGAGGUUCGAACCCACACCUGUUGAAAAAAGGUCGGGAUGACUUGUGCCUAGGGGUGAAAGGCCAAUCAAAUCUGGAGAUAGCUGGUUCUCCGCGAAAGCUAUUUAGGUAGCGCCUCGGACGUAUCCUCCUGGGGGUAGAGCACUGCAUGGAUGAUGGGGGCCCACAGCCUUACUGAGUCUAAGCAAACUCCGAAUACCAGGAAGGACUAUCCGGGAGACACACGGCGGGUGCUAACGUCCGUCGUGGAGAGGGAAACAACCCUGACCAACAGCUAAGGCCCCCAAUUCGUGGCUAAGUGGGAAAGCAUGUGAGACUUCCAAAACAACCAGGAGGUUGGCUUAGAAGCAGCCAUCCUUUAAAGAUAGCGUAACAGCUCACUGGUCUAAUCAAGAGGUCUUGCGGCGAAGAUGUAACGGG
rnacentral:rRNA from 1 species